CAAAUGCGGAUUUCCGGGACUGACGUGUUCUUAACUGAUUUGUGAAAUACCACCAACACAGUCAGUUUUCAAGGCUCAAGAUUACACGGAAUUGAGCACCCGGGCCAGACUGACACUUUCCGGAGCCUGUCCGAGACGGAACUCGAGCCGAGGUCCAGGCGGUGUCGAAAUGGGUCUAUAGCUCUGCCUGAACUGUCGUCCAAUUGGUUUACAAGUCCGGCUGAAGUGACAGGCCAUCGAAAACUGUACAGCAUGACUGAUUCGGAGACGGCCAUCAACACUCGCCCAGUCGUGUCGUGAGGAUCGGUGUCUUUGCAGAUUACACGAAAUUGAGCAUCCGGGCCAGACUAACACUUUCCGGAGCCUGUCCGAGACGGAACUCGAGCCGAGGAAUCAUAGGUCCAGGUGUGACAAAAUACUUAAAGCUCAUGUCUGACGAUGACAUUUUUUAGUCAGGAAGUCAAGUGUGUUGUUUUUCCAUGCAAGCAAGCCCUUUUGUUGGGUCAAAUGACAUCAGAAAUGCUGCUUCUACAUGGAUUUUAGCUAAAAUGUGCCAAUUUUUUUUUUUAAGUUUGUUCGAAUCAUUUGAUGCACAAAUAUUGACAUUGAUGAUUUUUUUCACUUAUAAAGUCAUAUGUUAUACCAGCUUUGCCUAUUAGAAUCGAAAGUGAUGCCUUGUAUGGAGUCUUAGUGCUGAAUGUAUGAUGAAACCAGAUUUGGCUUUUCUACCUUAAUUCUUGACGAGAAACGCUGUUACGCAUGGCGCUUUCAAUGGCAACUUUUAUGAAU